AUUAACCCUUAAUUUACCCGGUAGGUCCCUGGGACUCCAUUGAAAACUUUACGCGCUCAUAAAAUCGUUAGUUUUUGGAUUUUGAAAUUGUGCGUUCCAGUACCUUCACACAGUGACGCACCGAACGCGGGGGAGAGUGGACGUUGAUGUACGUGACUCCGAUCGAUGAUAUAAUGGUGUCUCACAGUACGAUAAACGUAUUUGACGAUGGUGCUGAGUCUGUAAUAAACAACUGGCUCGCACAAGUAAGUGACAGCGACACGGAUGGUGAUGGUGAGGAUCAACAAAAUAUAGCGUUGAACCAGCCUAGGAGACUAGAACCUAACGAGGUGGUGUCUGAAUCCGAGGAUGACUGCAAGCUCUGAGACCACAACUCUAAAUUAUCUUGUCUCGAUUUCAUCAAAGCUAUUACAACCGAACUCGAUGAAAGCAAUCUAAAAAGUAGAUUGUAUAAUAUAAUACCAAACUUCCUCGGCAGUUACGCG
rnacentral:misc_RNA from 1 species